rnacentral:rRNA from 1 species
GUCAGCGACCAUACCACAUAGAAAGCACCGGUUCUCGUCCGAUCACCGUCGAGCCGGAUUAGUACUUGGAUGGGUGACCGGCUGGGAAUACCCGGUGUUGCUGACU